AUACGGAGGGUGCAAGCGUUAUCCGGAUUCAUUGGGUUUAAAGGGUACGUAGGCGGAUAGAUAAGUUAGUGGUGAAAUCCCGAAGCUCAACUUCGGAACUGCCAUUAAAACUGUCUAUCUUGAAUUUGGUUGAAGUGGGCGGAAUAUGACAUGUAGCGGUGAAAUGCAUAGAUAUGUCAUGGAACACCGAUAGUGAAGACAGCUCACUAAGCCAAUAUUGACGCUGAGGUACGAAAGCAUGGGUAGCGAACAGGAUUAGAAACCCUAGUAGUCC
rnacentral:rRNA from 1 species